rnacentral:rRNA from 1 species
AGUGAACGCUGGCGGUAGGCCCAACACAUGCAAGUCGAACGGCAGCACAGAGGAGCUUGCUCCUUGGGUGGCGAGUGGCGGACGGGUGAGGAAUACAUCGGAAUCUACUCUGUCGUGGGGGAUAACGUAGGGAAACUUACGCUAAUACCGCAUACGACCUACGGGUGAAAGCAGGGGAUCUUCGGACCUUGCGCGAUUGAAUGAGCCGAUGUCGGAUUAGCUAGUUGGCGGGGUAAAGGCCCACCAAGGCGACGAUCCGUAGCCGGUCUGAGAGGAUGAUCAGCCACACUGGAACUGAGACACGGUCCAGACUCCUACGGGAGGCAGCAGUGGGGAAUAUUGGACAAUGGGCGCAAGCCUGAUCCAGCCAUACCGCGUGGGUGAAGAAGGCCUUCGGGUUGUAAAGCCCUUUUGUUGGGAAAGAAAUCCAUCUGGUUAAUACCCGGGUGGGAUGACGGUACCCAAAGAAUAAGCACCGGCUAACUUCGUGCCAGCAGCCGCAGUAA